rnacentral:lncRNA from 1 species
GGGGGGGGGGGGGGGGGGGGGGGGGGGGGGGGGGGAUUCUCCAGCCCCUUCCCAUUUCCCUCAGCAAUUCUCCAGCCCCUUCCCAUUUCCCUCAGCAAUUCUCCAGCCCCUUCCCAUUUCCCUCAGCAAUUCUCCAGCCCCUUCCCAUUUCCCUCAGCAAUUCUCCAGCCCCUUCCCAUUUCCCUCAGCAAUUCUCCAGCCCCUUCCCAUUUCCCUCAGCAAUUCUCCAGCCCCUUCCCAUUUCCCUCAGCAAUUCUCCAGCCCCUUCCCAUUUCCCUCAGCAAUUCUCCAGCCCCUUCCCAUUUCCCUCAGCAAUUCUCCAGCCCCUUCCCAUUUCCCUCAGCAAUUCUCCAGCCCCUUCCCAUUUCCCUCAGCAAUUCUCCAGCCCCUUCCCAUUUCCCUCAGCAAUUCUCCAGCCCCUUCCCAUUUCCCUCAGCAAUUCUCCAGCCCCUUCCCAUUUCCCUCAGCAAUUCUCCAGCCCCUUCCCAUUUCCCUCAGCAAUUCUCCAGCCCCUUCCCAUUUCCCUCAGCAAUUCUCCAGCCCCUUCCCAUUUCCCUCAGCAAUUCUCCAGCCCCUUCCCAUUUCCCUCAGCAAUUCUCCAGCCCCUUCCCAUUUCCCUCAGCAAUUCUCCAGCCCCUUCCCAUUUCCCUCAGCAAUUCUCCAGCCCCUUCCCAUUUCCCUCAGCAAUUCUCCAGCCCCUUCCCAUUUCCCUCAGCAAUUCUCCAGCCCCUUCCCAUUUCCCUCAGCAAUUCUCCAGCCCCUUCCCAUUUCCCUCAGCAAUUCUCCAGCCCCUUCCCAUUUCCCUCAGCAAUUCUCCAGCCCCUUCCCAUUUCCCUCAGCAAUUCUCCAGCCCCUUCCCAUUUCCCUCAGCAAUUCUCCAGCCCCUUCCCAUUUCCCUCAGCAAUUCUCCAGCCCCUUCCCAUUUCCCUCAGCAAUUCUCCAGCCCCUUCCCAGCUCUCACCAGACCAGGUUUGCUCCCUUCAGCUCCUCUCUGGGCAGAGCUGGAGCUCCAAGCCCUGAUUAAAUCCUCCAGGAACUGGAAGGAAAUGCUGUUGUCCCCUUGCUCUGUGCCCAGAGCCCAGCUGGAGGGAUCCAGAGGGAAUCCUGGGUUACUCCUGGGCACGGAGCAGGGCCCGGCUCCCCCUGCCAAACACAAACAAACAGAACUAGCAAGAAGCACCAGGUGCUGCCAGGACAGUGCAGUGUCUCCUUAGGAACCCCUGGCAAGAGCCCCUGGUGCUGACUGAGCAGCAGUGCUGGAGCCUGUUGGUGCUGUAAAGGUGUUUAUUUUUUCUUUGAGCCCUUUUCACCGUGCUCCUGAUCACUGGAGACGCUGCAGGCACGGGCAGGGUGUCUGUUGAUGUGGCAG